ACUGCUUCUCAGCCUUUUGGCUAAGAUCAAGUGCAGUAUCUGUUCUUAUAAGUUUAAUAUCUGAUACGUCCUCUAUCCAAGGACAAUAUAUUUGUGAAAUAAGAUGCUAU
rnacentral:snRNA from 1 species